rnacentral:rRNA from 1 species
ACACCGGCAGCUCUAGUGGUAGCUGUUUUUAUUGGGCCUAAAGCGUUCGUAGCCGGUUUGGUAAGUCCUUGGUGAAAUCUGUUAGUUUAAUUUUGGGAUUUGUGGGGAUACUUGUUGAACUGAGGGUGGGGAGGGGUUGUGGGUACUCCCGGGGUAGAGGGAAAGUCUGGAAUCCUGGGAGGACCACCUGUGGCGAAGGCGGCUAACUGGAACGAACCUGACGGUGAGGGACGAAAGCUAGGGGCGCGAACCGGAUUAGAUACCCGGGUAGUCCUAGCCGUAAACGAUGCGGACUUGGUGUUGGGAUGGCUUUGAGCCGCUCCGGUGCCGAAGGGAAGCUGUUAAGUCCGCCGCCUGGGAAGUACGGUCGCAAGACUGAAACUCAAAGGAAUUGACGGGG